rnacentral:rRNA from 1 species
AUUGAACGCUGGCGGCAUGCCUUACACAUGCAAGUCGAACGGCAGCGGGGGAGAAGCUUGCUUUUCCUGCCGGCGAGUGGCGAACGGGUGAGUAAUACAUCGGAACGUGCCCUGUAGUGGGGGAUAACUAGUCGAAAGAUUAGCUAAUACCGCAUACAACCUGAGGGUGAAAGUGGGGGACCGCAAGGCCUCAUGCUAUAGGAGCGUCCGAUGUCUGAUUAGCUAGUUGGUGGGGGAAAGGCCUACCAAGGCGACGAUCAGUAGCUGGUCUGAGAGGACGAUCAGCCACACUGGGACUGAGACACGGCCCAGACUCCUACGGGAGGCAGCAGUGGGGAAUUUUGGACAAUGGGCGAAAGCCUGAUCCAGCAAUGCCGCGUGUGUGAAGAAGGCCUUCGGGUUGUAAAGCACUUUUGUCCGGAAAGAAAUGGCUCUGGUUAAUACCUGGGGUCGAUGACGGUACCGGAAGAAUAAGGACCGGCUAACUACGUGCCAGCCGCCGCAGUAA